UUCUCUCCCCCAGCCGAUCCCCGGACAUGGAGGUGGCGGCGGAAAUUGAGGUUUUCCCGGCGGUUGGUAUAUAUAAUUAAGCCUAAGAUGUAAUGAAUAAAAUGCAUGCUUGGACGUGCAUACAUGCUCGUGGUGUGCCGGUUUUACUUGUUAUAUAUAUUAUGAUAUUAUGAUGAUGUAACCGUCUGAUUUAUGUAAUUUUGCUUACGCUAAUACACCAACUUUUAAGUAUUUUUAGUUUUGCAUAUAAAUUGAAAAUUUGGGUAAAAUGAUACAUACCUAUUUUGAAAGAUAAAACGUACAAAAUACCCUUCUUUUAUUUUGAAAGAUGAAACGUACAAAAUACCCAUCGUUUAUAGCAGAUANNNNNNNNNNNNNNNNNNNNNNNNNNNNNNNNNNNNNNNNNNNNNNNNNNNNNNNNAAAAAAAUACUACGCGGCGGAUAUCCCGGCGGAGGUUAUCCCGGCGGGCGGGAUAUCCCCCGGCGGAGGUUAUCCCCGGCGGCGGAAAUGGUGGAGGAAUUCCGCGCGGAUACGGAUCAGGUUCUCUCCCCAAGGCGAUACCCAGUUACGGAUCAGGUUCUCUCCCCCAGCCGGGCCCCGGACAUGGAGGUGGCGGCGGAAAUUGAGGUUUUCCCGGCGGUUGGUAUAUAUAAUUAAGCCUAAGAUGUAAUGAAUAAAAUGCAUGCUUGGACGUGCAUACAUGCUCGUGGUGUGCCGGUUUUACUUGUUAUAUAUAUUAUGAUAUUAUGAUGAUGUAACCGUCUGAUUUAUGUAAUUUUGCUUACGCUAAUACACCAACUUUUAAGUAUUUUUAGUUUUGCAUAUAAAUUGAAAAUUGGGGUAAAAUGAUACAUACCUAUUUUGAAAGAUAAAACGUACAAAAUACCCUUCUUUUAUUUUGAAAGAUGAAACGUACAAAAUACCCAUCGUUUAUAGCAGAUAGGAUCCUCUCUCCCACAAUUUAGGGUGUACCACUCUUAAGUUAUCUAUUUUAUAAUUAUUUGUUGUAAAAAUAAAAUAUAUUAUUUAUAACUAAAAAUUGAAAUUUUAAAAAAUUAUAUACCCUAAUUUUGAAUUAAUUAACCCAAAUAAUCAAUUAUUAAUUCAAAUAAAUAUAAAAAAAUAAUUAUAAACCCUAAUUGGAUGAGUGAACCCUUGUUAAUUAUCUUCUUAUUAUAUUAAAGCAUAAUAAAUUAAAAUUGAAGAAAAUAUAAUUAAAAAUUAUAAUAAAUUAAGAGUGAUACACGGUCGUACACACUAAAUUGUGGAACAGAGGAUCCUAUGUGAUUCUCAACUUGUAAUCGACAAUUGUCGAGUAUUAGUGUAUUUUCUAAGAAUCUUGGAAGAAAAUGGUGGCUGUGAGCCUGUGAGUAUCUCUAAAUUCAAAAUCCCACUUUUAAUUAAAUACCCGAUUGCUUCGACAAUUUAAUUUACUACGUUUGGCUCAAAAGAAUACCAUACAAGGUGAUCAAAAUUCUAGUUUUAGCUAUAUAUUACGCCAUGUUCGAUUACAAUUAUAAUCUUCCAAAUAAGAAAUUUCGACCUGUCUAUGAAUAUUCAUCGGUUCAAUGGAAAAAUCGAGAAUCGGAAUAUAGGAAAAAUCUUGGGCUUCUCAAACUCAAUGAUUGCUCAAGCAAUAGAUUGAGCCGAAACAUUCCAAAAUAAUUUUUAAUUCAGUAAGCUUUGGAUUAAUUUCCUUAAACCUAUAACAUCAAAAUCAAAUGAUACUCCCUUCGUUCCAUUACAAAUGUCUCACUUUUCAUAAUGGGAUGUAUGUAAUACCCGAUAAUAUUUUAUGAUUAAAUGUUAUUAUAUUUUUUAGAUGUUGUUCAUUUGGUAAACAAAUUUUAAAUAAAUAAGUUAUCAGUAUAUCGUAUGAUCGUAUCGAAUUUUGUCAAUUUCGAUAUAUCAGUUACUUUGAUAUACCGUGAAAGUAUGGUAUACUGUGAAAGUAAGUAUACCGCGAGUUAUACCAAACAAAGGACGGUAAGGUAUAAUACGUAUUAGUGCAUUCUCCGUACCGUAAUUAAGGUAUAACAAAUUGAGGUAUACCGUAGGUAAAUAUAAGGUAUAAUGUAUGAAGAAUUUAGUAAGGUAUACCGUACCGUUCCACCCCAAUUGUCACUAUCAAUUGCUAAUUUUGAAUAAUUCAUAAUGGAAUCAAAGAAGAUUAGGUAACCAAUUUAACAUUUUAAUUAAUAACAGAAAAUCUUUAAGCUCUAGGUUUAAUUGUUUUCAAGUGUUUUCGUCUUUUUAUUAAUUGAUGAGAAAUAUAUCCUCAUGAAUUAACUUUUAGUCCAUUUUGUCAUUUUCUCAUUAAUUGUGACCCAAUGUUUACGGCAUAUUAUCAUGACUCGUCAUUUUAUGACUUGGUCACACUUCACUUACUAGUUUGUUUCUAUGUUGGAAAAUUAUCAGGUCAUUUAAAACCACAAUUUCUACAUUAAUUUAUCAUGAAUUAUCUUCAAACAAUUUCUAUAUAUAUAUAUUUUUUUGCGAUGAUGACUUGGUCACACUUCACUUCACUAGUUUGUUUCUAUAUAAGUAGGAAAAUUAUUAGGUCAUUUAAAACCACAUGAAUUUCUACAUUAACUUAUCAUGAAUUAUCUUCAAACAAUUUCUAUAUUAUUUUUUGCGAUGAUACCUUAGUCACGCUUCACUUUCUUGUUUUGUUUUUCAAGUUGACUUGCAAGUAAUCCAAGCAAGUCAUUGAGUUUGAAAGUGACAUUUUGCAAUGUGAGGGAAAGAGGUAUGUUUUGUCCUAUUUAAACCAUCCAACUUGAGACUAUGAAGUAUCCCACAAACAUAUAUCUCUUUCUCUUCCACACAUCAAAAUAUACAGAAAGGAUGAUUUCUGAUAAAGGAAUAUCAAUCAAAUUUCUUCUUUUUCUUCUACUUUGUGUCUCUGUUUCAGGAGAAGUGAGAUGCAUUGAAAGGGAGAGAGAAGCUCUUCUAAGCUUCAAGAAUGGCCUCAUCGAUGACUAUGGCGUUCUCUCGUCAUGGCGAAGUGACGAAUGCUGCAAAUGGUAUGGUGUUGAGUGCAGUAACACCACAGGCCAUGUCAUAGCUCUUCAUCUUGAUGGCUAUUAUAAAGGUGCAUUGCGAGGUAAGGUUGGUUCUUCCUUGCUCGAGUUGCAUCAUUUAAACUAUCUUGACCUCAGUUACAAUGAUUUUGGAGGCUAUUCAAUCCCAGAAUUCAUAGGUUCCAUGAAACAGUUACAAUAUCUGUAUCUCAUGUAUUCUCACUUUUCUGGGAUCAUUCCUCCUCAGAUUGGUAACCUUACUAACUUGCGGUUACUCGGUCUCAGUUGGAAUGAUUUUGGAGGCAAUCCAAUCCCGGAAUUCGUUUAUUCCAUGAAACAAUUACAACACUUGUAUCUCAAGUAUGCUAACUUUUCUGGGAUCAUUCCUCCUCAGAUUGGUAACCUUACCAACCUACUCUCACUUGAUCUCUCAUUCAACUCUUUGACGACUGAGAAUCUCGUUUGGCUUUCGAAUCUCUCUUCGUUGUCUUAUCUUCAUUUGAGUCAAAUCGACUUAAGUCACCCCAACUCGCUGCAACAUAUCUCAAGUCUUCAUUUCCUAUAUGAAUUGCACUUGUAUUCUUGUGGCCUCAAGGGGACUGAACCUUCUNNNNNNNNNNNNNNNNNNNNNNNNNNNNNNNNNNNNNNNNNNNNNNNNNNNNNNNNNNNNNNNNNNNNNNNNNNNNNNNNNNNNNNNNNNNNNNNNNGACUUAAGUCACACCAACUGGCUGCUGCACAUCCCAAGUCUUCGUUCCCUAAAUGAAUUGUACUUGAAUUCCUGUAACCUCACUUCUUCCUCAUCUUUUCUUAAUUCUUCUUCCAAAUCUCAUCUUUCUAUCCUUGGUGUGUCUGAUAAUAACCUCACUUCUUCCUCGUUCGAUUGGUUAUCAAACAUAACUACAAGUCUAGUGGAAAUAGACCUGUCACACAAUGCUUUAGGUGGCCCAAUUCCUAAUGCAUUUUUAGAGAGUUUGGUUCUUAUUGAGUAUCUUGAUCUUUCCAAUAACAUGCUUCAAGGCCAUAUCCCAAAAUCUUUGUCCAAUCUCAGUCGUCUGCGCGUCUUAGUCCUUUACGAAAAUGACUUAGGAGGAGAACUUGAUGAGCUGUUUGGAAAUAUAUCUGCCAAAGGAAUGUUGGAAUCACUCCAAAUUCUGGAUUUGGCUGAUAAUAAACUCAAUGGUUCAGUGCCAGACUUGAGAGCAUUUUCUGCAUUGACAGAAGUGUACUUUGGGGGAAACAACUUCACAGGCUCCAUUCCUCAAAGUAUUGGCCAACUCUCCGAGCUUCAAGUUCUAGAUCUUUCUAAUAAUUCUUUCAAAGGCGUAGUCUCUGAAUCGCACUUCAUCAAGCUCGACAAGUUGAAGAUACUAGAUUUAUCCUUCAAUUCAAUGAUCUUGAAUGUUGCCCCGGAUUGGAGUCCUCCUUUUCAGUUGGAGCGUAUGUUUUUAGGAGGAUGCAAUGUGGGCCCGUCUUUCCCAAAAUGGAUCCAAACUCAGAGGAAUUUGUUAGGCCUUGAUCUCUCUAGAGCUGGCAUAAGAGAUGAAGUCCCAACAUGGCUGUGGACUAUAUUCCCUUCAUUAGACUGCAUUUAUCUAUUUGAUAAUCAAAUUACUGGUUCUGUUCCUGAUCUCUCAUUCACUUCCAUCAGAUUCUUGUUUCUUAAUAACAAUAAUUUCUCAGGUCCUUUUCCAUUAUUUUAUGCCAAUGCUGAAAUUGUUCAGUUGAAUGGAAAUAAGUUCUCUAGGUUCAAUUUCAAGUAUUAGCAAAAUUCCCCAAUAUCGUCAGCUUCUUAGCCUUGACCUCUCCCGUAAUCAGUUGGCCGGAGAGAUUCCCGACUGCUGGGAGAAAAUGCCAUACUUAAGCUUUCUCAAUUUGGCCGACAACAAUUUUUCGGGUGAAAUUCCUCGCUCUUUCGGCUCUUUGCUUGAAUUCAGUGCACUGCAGUUGCGUGGUAAUAAUUUAUCUGGAGAGUUGCCUUCCACUUUGAGACUUUGCCAAAAAUUGCAGUUACUUGAUGUUGGAGGGAAUAAGUUAAGAGAAGAGAUCCCCACUUGGAUUGGCGAGUUGUAUAAUAUGGAAAUCCUAAACCUUCGCGGGAAUAAAUUUCAUGGCAGUAUUCCUUCUCAGAUAUGCAAGCUCACUGAUAUUCGAAUUCUGGACUUGUCGAGAAACAAUUUGUCUGGGAAGAUACCCGAUUGCUUCAACAAUUUUACUGCAUUGGCUCAAAUGAAUACCACACAAUUUGAUCCAUAUUAUCGUAUUGGCUUUUACUCCAUGUUCCAAUACAGUGAUCAUCUUCCAAAUAUAAAAAUUCGACCUGUCUAUGAAUAUUCGUCAGUUCAGUGGAAAGGUCAAGAAUUGGAAUAUAGGAAAAAUCUCAAGCUUCUCAAACUUAUUGAUCUUUCAAGCAAUAGGUUGACUGGAAACAUUCCCAAAUCAUUUUCCAGCAUGCUUGCAUUAAUUUCCAUGAACCUAUCAAGGAAUAGUUUGACAGGAAAUAUAAUUGGAGAUAUUGGUGAGAUGGAGAUGUUAGAAUGUGUUGAUUUAUCACACAACCAAUUCACCGGUGAAUUGCCCACAAGCUUGGCACAAUUACAGUACUUGGCCGUUCUCGACUUGUCGAACAACCACUUAUUUGGUAAAAUUCCAACAAGUACUCAACUUCAGAGCUUCAACGCAUCUGCUUAUGCCGAGAAUGACAGACUCUGUGGGCACCCUCUGCCGGCAUUGUGCCCUGAAGAUAGCUUGAAGCCAUCCACCACUAAUCCGAAUGAGAAAGACGACGACAACCUCUCUUUUAUGCAAGAAGUCUGCAUAUCAUUGGGCUUUGGUUUUAUAUUUGGAUUUUGGGGAGUUGUUGGUACUUUCAUAGUGAAGAAAUCAUGGAGAAUUGCAUACUUCAAUUUCUGGGAUGAUGUUGGAGAUUGGUUCUACGUGAAGAUUGGUGUGUUUGUGUCCAAAUGGAGACGGAGCUGAAAUACUGGUAAUAAACUAACAUCAAUAUAUAUUGUCUUCUACCAUUCUUAAUUUUCUCAAGCUAUUAUUUAAUCUUUAUUUCUUUCUGAAUAGAGGAGGACAAGCUCAUGCAUACAAGAGGAAAUUAAGGAGGAAGAUGUAUUGCUAGUAAUUAUAGUCCUAUUAUGUGUUUUUUAAUACUUCAAUUAUGUCAUUGUUCAUCAUGUUUGGUGAUUAUGUAAUAUUGGAGUAUGUACUUAUUAUUGUCAAAUUAAGUGUUUUUCCUACUUUUUAAUUUAUCAUUGUUUGUCAUGUAUAUUAUGCAGUGAUGUUAUAUUGUAUAUAUGUUGUAUGUGUGAUAGGGGCUAAGCUGCAAAGCGAUGAAAAGUCUGAGGACUAACUUGCAAACAAUGUUCAGGAGUUGGUUGAAAUAAGUUGCAGCCAUUUUCUGUAAUUAUUUUUCAGCUGCGUAGUAUAUAUAUAGGUCGUGGAAGUUCAUUUUUCGAUCUGUAUUGGAAUUUCUUUAAUUUGCUGAUCAAUAAAUCUCCUCCGAUUGACUCUCCCGUGGAUGUAGGCGAAAGCCGAACCACGUAAAUUAUGUGUUCUUGUUUGAUUUUAAUUAUGGUCCAGUUAUGUGUUUGUAAGUAACUAGCAGAGAGUGCGUGUAUUUGCACACAAUUCAUAAAUUUCACAGUAAUCAAUUGUUAAAAUUGAACAAAUGUAAUAAAUUUUACAGUAAUUAUUCUUAUGAUGGUUAGUAUAAAAUCGAAAAUAGAUUUUUAAUUAAUGUAGCGAUGGAGAACUAUGGCUACGAGGACCUUCGAUUGUGAAAGGUUAAUUGUUGCAUCAUUUAAUAUAUAAUAUAUAUGCCAAAUUAAUGAAAUAAUAAUUAAGUCUUUUUUUUAUAAUAAUAAUAAUAAUAAUAAUAAUAAUAAUAAUAAUAAUAAUAAUAAUAAUAAUAAUAAUAAUAAUAAUAAUAAUAAUAAUAAUAAUAAUAAAGAAGUUAGUGAAGUGAAACUGUAUAUGUAUUUUGAUGAAAUCAGAUAAUAGUUUUAGGUAAAUCUAACACUAAGAGAAAAAUGGCAUGUUAUGGCACUUGAAAAUGUCAUAAGAAAUAUGAUUUUGUGGCACUUUAACUAUAAUGACACUUGGUGCAGGUGUCAUAUUAGGAAAUGUAAUAAUAGGUUAAGUGUAACAAUAAAAUCUUUAUGACUACACUUAAAAAUGUCAUGAAAAAUCACAUAUAAUGUCACUAAAAAGUGUCUUAAAAUGUUUUCUAAGACUACACAAAUUUAUAAGGACGAAAAUUUAUUAAAUAUUUGUAAAUUAUAUUUUUAUACUUCAAAUAUUUAAAGUUACAUUUUCUUCCUUUAAAUUAAUAUAAUUACAUUUUCACUAUUCAACAUAAAAGUAAGGAAUUCAUAUUAGCUAUUAAUAAUCAUCCAGCAAAGAAAUACUGAACGACUCAUUAACAAAAGAAUAACAUAUUCUUUUAGAUAUAUAGAAAUAUGUAUUGAAGAUGAAAUCAUAUAGAUUUUUAAUCUAUAUCUAAUGAAUUGAUAUAUAUUCUUUUAAAUAUAUUUUAUUGGAUAGAGAUAUUUAUUUAUAAGUCAUAUCGAAUUGCUAUAGACUUAUAUCAAAUAUAUUUUGUGUAAUAUCUAAUGAAUUAAUAUAAUAUAUAUUUUCAUAUAUACAUAAUAUGUUAUUUAUAAAAUUACCCUUUAAAUAAAAUACUAUGUAAUAGGGAAUCUAUAUUUUGUGACCAAAUCAAGAGAAGACAACAAAGAGAGAUUUGAAAGCCAAUCGAGAUUCUCAGUCUGUCAAAGAGCUAUAUACAAGUGUUGUAAUUAUUUCAUGGAACCAAUGAAUGCUGGGAUAGAAUUGCCUCCAAAAUCAUUGCAACUGAGAUCAAGAUACUUUAAAUGAUGCAACUCAAGCAAGGAAGAACCAACCUUACCUCUUAAUGCACCUUCAUAAUCACAAGCAUUAAGAUGACAUGGCGAGUUGUGUUGCUGCACUCAACACCAUACCAUUCGCAGCAUUCGUCACUUCGCCAUAACGAGAGAAAACCAUCAUCACCGACGAGGCUGUUCUUGAAGCUCAGAAGAGCUUCUCUCUCCCUCGCAAUGCAUCUCACUUCUCCUGAAACAGAGACAAAAAGUAGAAGAAAAAGAAGAAAUUUGAUUGAUAUUCCUUUAUCAGAAAUCAUGCUUUCUCUAUAUAUUGAUGUGUGGAAGAGAAAGAGAUAUAUGUUUGUGGGAUACUCCAUAGCAGGGACGGAUCUAAGAAUUUAAUUAGGACCGGGCAAGAUUUCAUCGGAUGAUUUUAAUGAAUUUUUAGUAAAGAAAACAGACCGGGCGAUCGCCAAGAUUUCAUCAAAAUAUACAUAUAUAUAGGUAAUAAAAAAAAAAUUUUGACCGGGCGACCGCCGAGGCUGGCCUGCCUCUAGAUCCGUCUUUGCUCCAUAGUCUCAAGUUGGAUGGUUUAAAUAGGUCUAAACAUACCUCUUUCCAAACAAUGAAAUUAAACAGACUUGCUUCGAUUACUUGCAAGUUAACUUAAAAGACAAAACAACAAAGUGAAGCGCCACUAACUUAUAAUCGCAAAUAAUAUAGAAAUUGUUUGAAGAUAAUUCAUGAUAACUUAACGUAGAAAUUGGGGUGGUAAUUUUCCAACAUAGAAACAAACUGGUGAAGUGAAGUGUGACAAAGGCAUAAUAGCAAACAAUGUAUAGAAACUGUUUUAAGAUAAUUCAAUUUGCCGUAAACAUUGGGUCAAAAAUAAAUGAGAAAAGGGACAAAAUAGACUAAAUAGUAAAGCGAAGUUUGACUAAAUUAUAAUCACUAAAAAUCUGGAUAAUAAAUUGAAAGUUAAUUCAGUAUGACUGCACAUUGAUAUUUCUCAUCAAUUAAAUGACGAAAUAAACCAUUGAAAACAUUUAAACCUAGAACUUGCAAUUUCUGUUAUUAUUUUUUUGGGGUCACAAAAGAAUAAAAUAAAAUGUUAAAUUGUUUACCUAAUCUACUUUGAUUCCAAUAUGAAUUAUGAAAAAUAAACUAUUGGUAGUGACAACAAACCAAAAAUAAACUAAAAUAAGCAUAAGCGCGCAUCUAUACUAUAUACUAAUAUAAAAUGAGCAUGCAUUUGGUACAACUUGUGGAUUGCCUAUUUUACCACUAUUAUGUAUUUUAUAUUAUAUCCUAUUAUAUUUUACUCCAUCCGUCCGCGAUAUCGUUUCCACAUUGUGGACGGUGCGGGUUUUAAGAAAAGUGGUGGAUAAUAGUGGAUAUGUAGUGAGUGGAGUUUGGGUCCCACUAUUGUUGUGAGUGAAAGUUUGUGGAUCCUACUUCUACAAAUGGAAGUGAAAACGAUAUCGCGUACAUACCGAAAUAGCAAAUGUGGAAACGAUAUUGCGGACGGAGGGAGUAUAUCAUAGCUAGGGAAGAGAUCAAUAAAGAAACCUAAAUAUUGAACGAAACAACGAAAGCAUAAUAAGUCGAUAAAUUUACCGAAUAAAUCACACGACCGCACAACCGAAAAAUGUAUGUGUUUAUUCAGUAAAUAACUAUUCGUGUGGUCGCGUGAUUUAUUCGGUAAAGUUAUUAACUUAUUCAAAACGAAAUAUAUUUACUUUCUUCAUAGAUCCCAACCCAUUAUAUUAUAUAUUUAUAAAAUAAAUCUAUUUGAUAUAUAUUUAUAAAGAAUAUUUUAUACCCAAUAUAUUAAGAUUAAUUUGGUUAAUUACAAACACUAUAGAUUAUGUAUUAAGUAAUCUGAAUUAACCUAAGGUGACCAGACAUACGAAAACCAGAUUAAAACUCUCUACUGAAGGAACAAAUUAACAUUCUAUCAAAUUCUUGUUCGCAACUCUAAAAAAUAUACACUAUUUUUCCCUCAACUGAGAUUGAUCAUGGCGGCCUAUGCAACCUUGGUUUCUCUUAUGCAUAUCAUCGAUAAAAUCGAGCAUCAUCAUUCCCCUCCAAUUUCAAUGGACAAACAACAAGUUGAAUCUCUAACUCAAAUUGUUACCUUCUUGCAGGAAUUUCUUGAAGGCUAUAUUUCCCCUUGUGAUUACAACGAUGAAGCCAAUCCAUUCGAGAUGCGUAUUGCAGAUGCAGCUGUAUCGAAUCACAUAUUGCACCCGAUCGAAGCUCAUGGAAUGAAUUUGCAUUAUCCAUUUUGCAAAUAAAUGUAUUUGCAAAAAUAUUGUUGUUGCCCUUUGCUGAAAAUUUUGCUUUUCAAGGUUCAUGUUUAAAAUUUGAAAACCCAAAUAUAAUGAAUCAAUAUGAACCUAUUAAAAACAGUCUUGAUUUAUAAAUUUUGUUUGCUAUUUCUCCAAAUAAAAUUUUGGAAACAUUGUGAAAUGGUGUUUCUCUGAACAGGCUUGGAGCACUUCUCAGCAUACCAUAUUCUUUCAGUCAUUUAGUCGAACAGUUAGAGCGCCACAUAGUUGGCUGAGAUGAACUAGAUUCUCACGUGAUGACAUGUUAUUCAGAUGAUGGAAAAUUAAUCAAUUUAUUAAUGUUUUGUAAUAAGAAUCAAAUAAAAAAAACUUGUAAAAAAUGAUUCGAGGAUGAUGAAGCAAAAUAACUGUACAAAUAUUUAAUCUAGUUAUUUCGAUUAUUUUUAAUAUUACACUAAAUAUACAAUUUGAGGGUGUUUGAUUUUUGUAAUAAAUUAAAAGAUGGUGAUAUCAUUGCAAAAUUUCAAAAUCGUAUUAAAAUUGCCAAAAAGGGUGAAGGUUCACGAAUUAUUUGGAAUUAACCCAAAUAAGAAUUGGAAGGUUGGUUCAAGUACAGAUCAGCAACAAGAAGUGAUCCUCUCAUAGAAGAGUUCUCCAAAUGAUUUCUCUUAAUUCAAUUUUGGUAAUGAUGCAUCAUCUCUCCAACUAAAAGAAACAGAAAAAGGAAAAUGAGGAAUCAAGUAAUCAAAUAUAUAUGUUUUAUAAAAGAUGGGUAUUUUGUACUCCCUCCGUCCCAAACGAAAUGUCUUGUUUUCCUUUUUGGGCUGUCCCAAACGAAAUGUCAUGUUUCCUUUUUUGGCAAUACAUUCACUCUCUAUACUUAAUAUUUAAAAAGGAAAAUGACUUAUUUUAAAGAAAUAGGCCAUUUCGUUUGGGAAGGAGGGAACACGUUUUAUCUUUCAAAAUAGGUAUAUAUCAUUUUACCCCUUUAAUUGACAUUCAAAACUAAAAAUAAUUAAAAGUUGGUGUGGUGUAUUAGCGAAAGCAAAAUUACAUAAAUCACACGGUUACAUGAUCAUAAUAUAACAAGUAAAACCGGCACACCACGAGCAUGUAUGUAAUGUACGUCCAUGCAUGCAUUUUAUUCAUUACAUCUUAAUUAGGCUUAAUUAUAUAUAAGGCUGCCUUGCUUAGUUGUGAGUGUCGACCUCCGUCUUUUUAUCACCAGACGCUGCAACCGCCGGCGGGGCGGGGUAACCUCCAUUUCUGCCUCCCGGAAAACCUCCACUUCCGCCGCCGGGAAAACCUCCAUUACCGCCAUUUCCGCCGCCGGGAAAACCUCCAUUACCGCCAUUUCCGCCGCCAGGAAAACCUCCAUAACCACCUCCCGGAAAACCUCCAUUUCCGCCGCCGGGAAAACCUCCAUUACCGCCGCCGGGAAAACCUCCAUUUCCGCCGCCGGGAAAACCNNNNNN
rnacentral:lncRNA from 1 species